rnacentral:lncRNA from 1 species
AUAAGGUAAAAUAACAGAAUAAAUAAACUUGUUAAUGUUAAUGUCUUUUCACUUAGGCUCGGCGGUACGGUUACUUCUUCAGCAGGUACUUCCAUGGUUUUUGGAUGGCCUCCGUUUGUCUAUCAUUGAUAAUCUGCGCGUGUUGCCUGUUUUUAUAUAUUUGUAUGUUUUCAGCAGUCUGAAGCUCCUCUAUCCUCGUGAUGUUUUUAAUUACUUUACUUUCUUGCCAUUCGACGUUGAUGUUGUUCUCAUAAGCCUUCCUGGCCAGAGCUGUCAUUAAAUUUGUGUUCUUUAUGUCUUUUUU